AGGAAUCUGAUCUCAAACCUUUUAGAAAAGUGAAAGGCAGCACCCUCAUUAUUUGUCCUAUGGCGUUGCUUGGCCAGCGGAAGGAUGAACUUGAAACACACUCAAAGCCAGAUAGCAUCUCCGUUUCUGUCUUUUUUGGUGGGGAUCGGAGCAGUGACCCUAGAGUGAUUGCUGAACCUAAUGUGGUCUUGACCACAUACAGUGUCUUAACGGCUGCUUGAUGGGGAGAAGAGCAUUUUCCACAGAGUUGACUGGUACAGAGUGGUUUUGGAUGAAGCUCAUACCAUCAAGUCCUAUAAAACUCUAGGUGCCCAGGCUGCCUUCAAAUUGUCAUCCUAUUGCAUGUGGUGUCUUACUGGUACCCCUCUUCAGGUGGCAAAAACUGAUUCAGAAGCCAUAUGAGAGUGGUGAUUAUAGAGGGAUAAAG